GUUAGGGUCAGGCAGCUUUGAAGUGGAAUCCGGAUCCGCCACUCUCGCUGCGUGAUAUUGGGCAUGCCAUCAAAGCGCUCUCAACCGAACGUCUCGGGAAUUUUCUGGGAAGUUAAGAAUUUCCAAUAAAUCUUGGACUACUCUAAAAUGCACCAGAAAUUACGUGGUCACACUCGUGCAGUGAAAGAAGGCUUUGGCAGUAGCAUAAGACAUUAAGCAGAAGUAGGAAAUGCAGUGAGGAAG
rnacentral:lncRNA from 1 species